CACAGUCCUUCUGCUGGGCCAUCAGGUCAGCAUACCUCCAAGAGAAAUGAGACUUCCUGUUGUCUAGCCCCUUCUAAAUGAGUUUAAAGGGACAUGGAUUUUUGGAACAGUUAAGGUCUUUUAUCUCACCAGAAGGAAAAUUUUGCCUCUUUUUAAAAGGAAAAUAAUGAAAAAGAAAUUGUAGAUGAUUUGUGAAUUUUUCAGUGUGCGUUCUUCCUCCAGCUAUGCCAGUUGUAACUACCUCAUGACUUAGGAGCCAAGACCAUGAACGGCUGUAGCCAAGAUGAUUCAUCACCUGGUGGCCGACCUUCUGGUGAGUGAACUCUCCAAAUUUAGCCUGAUCUUGAGAUGACAAUCUGUCACUAGGCC
rnacentral:lncRNA from 1 species